rnacentral:rRNA from 1 species
AACGAACGCUGGCGGCAGGCUUAACACAUGCAAGUCGAACGCAUCCUUCGGGGUGAGUGGCAGACGGGUGAGUAACGCGUGGGAACGUGCCCUUCAGUUCGGGAUAACCCAGGGAAACUUGGGCUAAUACCGGAUACGUGCGAGAGCAGAAAGAUUUAUCGCUGAAGGAUCGGCCCGCGUUUGAUUAGCUAGUUGGUGGGGUAGUGGCCCACCAAGGCGACGAUCAGUAGCUGGUCUGAGAGGAUGAUCAGCCACAUUGGGACUGAGACACGGCCCAAACUCCUACGGGAGGCAGCAGUGGGGAAUAUUGGACUAUGGGCGCAAGCCUGAUCCAGCCAUGCCGCGUAAGUGAUGAAGGCCUUAGGGUUGUAAAGCUCUUUCGUCCGGGACGAUAAUGACGGUACCGGAAGAAGAAGCCCCGGCUAACUUCGUGCCAGCCGCCGCCGUAA